UACGUAGGGGGCAAGCGUUGUCCGGAAUCAUUGGGCGUAAAGCGCGCGUAGGCGGUUACUCAAGUCGGAUGUGAAAGCCCUCGGCUUAACUGAGGAAGUGCACCCGAAACUGAGUAGCUAGAGUACUAAAGAGGGUCGCGGAAUUCCCGGUGUAGAGGUGAAAUUCGUAGAUAUCGGGAGGAACACCGGUGGCGAAGGCGGCGACCUGGUCCGAUACUGACGCUGAGGCGCGAAAGCGUGGGGAGCAAACAGG
rnacentral:rRNA from 1 species